rnacentral:rRNA from 1 species
CCUACGGGAGGCAGCAGUAAGGAAUAUUGGUCAAUGGAGGCAACUCUGAACCAGCCAUGCCGCGUGCAGGAAGACUGCCCUAUGGGUUGUAAACUGCUUUUAUCCGGGAAUAAACCUACUUACGUGUAAGUAGCUGAAUGUACCGGAAGAAUAAGGAUCGGCUAACUCCGUGCCAGCAGCCGCGGUAAUACGGAGGAUCCAAGCGUUAUCCGGAUUUAUUGGGUUUAAAGGGUGCGUAGGCGGCCUGUUAAGUCAGGGGUGAAAGACGGUAGCUCAACUAUCGCAGUGCCCUUGAUACUGAUGGGCUUGAAUGGACUAGAGGUAGGCGGAAUGAGACAAGUAGCGGUGAAAUGCAUAGAUAUGUCUCAGAACACCGAUUGCGAAGGCAGCUUACUAUGGUCUUAUUGACGCUGAGGCACGAAAGCGUGGGGAUCAAACAGGAUUAGAUACCCUGGUAGUCCACGCCCUAAACGAUGAACACUCGCUGUUGGCGAUACACAGUCAGCGGCUAAGCGAAAGCGUUAAGUGUUCCACCUGGGGAGUACGCCCGCAAGGGUGAAACUCAAANAGAGUAGAGACGAGAGAGCGACGGACGACACGAGGGAGGAGG